UUACAUAUAACAGUACCUAACAUCAAAAAAAAAAUGAAGAGAACAGGCCACAUUUUACAAAAGAGAAGUUUAAGGUUCCAAAAACAUUGGAAAACAGAGCAAUUUAUUACUUCAAGAGUGCACAAAUGCCUUAUAUAUAUACAAAAGGGUGUCAUAUUGGAUGAGGCCCCCACGUUGUGAGGGUCAGAUAUGCACAAUGUUCCCCUUUGCAAUUGCAAGGAUGCUGUUUUUGCGGUUCAAACCAAUGACCUCCAGGUUACAGUGGAGCACAUAUAACAUAUGGAAAUAAGGAAUAACAUACAACUAAGGAAUAACAUACAACUAUGUUAAAUCCUGUUGCAAUUUAUUCAGACAAGGAUGAGGAGAUUAUUUACGGAAAUAUCUUGAAAGCAAUAUUUAACAUAAAAAUAUUAUAAAGUACUGACAGGAACCUCAGAGCAAAAAAGGGAAACAAGAUAAACUCUAAUCAGGAUAAAUUAAAUACAAAAACUACAAGAAGAAGGAGAGGAAUGAUAAACUCCUGGUUUCAAA
rnacentral:misc_RNA from 1 species